AAUCGAACCCGGAGAUAGCUGGUUCUCCUCGAAAUAGCUUUAGGGCUAGCCUCAUGGAUCAUUGAUGGGGGUAGAGCACUGAAUGUGCGCGGGGGCCACAAAGCCUACCAAACGCUAUCAAACUUCGAAUACCAUACAAUGCAGACCAUGGGAGUCAGUCCGCGAGAGAUAAGUUCCGCGGGCAAAAGGGGAACACCCCAGAUCAACCGCUAAGGUCCCCAAGUUCACGUUAAGUGGAGAAGGAUGUGGAAUUGCACAGACAACCAGGAUGUUGGCUCAGAAGCAGCCACACAUUUAAAGAGUGCGUAAUAGCUCACUGGUCGAGUGAUUGUGCGCCGAAGAUGUCCGGGGCUAAACGUGACACCGAAGCGAUGGGUGCAUCUGAAGAAGAUGCGCGGUAGAGGAGCAAUGUGCAGAGGCAGAAGCCGUAUCGAGAGGCACGGUGGACACUGCACAAGAGAGAAUGCCGGUAUGAGUAGCGAGAGGCAUGCGAGAAACAUGCCCGUCGAAAGCCCAAGGUUUCCUGGGGAAGGUUCAUCCGCCCAGGGUAAGUCGGGGCCUAAGCCGAGGACGGAAGUCGUAGGCGAUGGACAGCAGGUGUAGAUUCCUGCACUACCGAUGGAAUGAAGCAGUGACACAGAAGGAUAACUCGAGCAGGGUGAUGGUCAACCCUGUGCAAGCAUCAAGGUUGGGUUGUAGUGAAGUACGCAAUCCUAUAAGCUGAGAUGUGAUGCGGACCGAAAUUUCAGUAGGGAAGCGAGUGAGUUCACGCUGGCGAGAAAAGCUGCUAGUACAUCCAAAGGUACCCGUACCGGAAACCGACGCAGGUGGGCGAGGAGAGAAUCCUGAGACGAACGGGAGAACCCUUGUUAAGGAACUCGGCAAAAUGACCCCGUAACUUCGGGAUAAGGGGUGCCUGCGAGAGCAGGCCGCAGAGAAUAGUCACAAGCGACUGUUUAGCAAAAACACAGGUAUCUGCGAAAGCGAGAGCUGACGUAUAGGUGCUGACACCUGCCCGGUGCUGGAAGGUUAAGGGAACAUGUUAGAGCAAUCGAAGCAUCGAACCGAAGCCCCAGUAAACGGCGGCCGUAACUAUAACGGUCCUAAGGUAGCGAAAUUCCUUGUCGGGUAAGUUCCGACCCGCACGAAUGGUGUAACGACUUGUGAGCUGUCUCAACAGGGGGCCCGGUGAAAUUGAAGUAUGGGUGAAGAUGCCCAUUACCCGCGACUGGACGGAAAGACCCCGUAGAGCUUUACUGCAGCCUGAUAUUGAGUUUCGGUAACUGAUGCACAGGAUAGGUGGGAGUCUGAGAGACAUGGGUUUCGGCUCAUGUGGAGACGAUGUUGGGAUACCACUCUUCGGUUACUGAAAUUCUAACAUAGCUCUGUGAAACCAGAGGAUGGACAGUGUCAGGUGGACAGUUUGACUGGGGCGGUCGCCUCCGAAAGAGUAACGGAGGCGCCCAAAGGUACCCUCAGAAUGGAUGGAAACCAUUCGAAGAGCGCAAAGGCAGAAGGGUGCCUGACUGCGAGAGUGACAACUCGAGCAGAGACGAAAGUCGGGCUUAGUGAUCCGGCGGUAUUGAGUGGAAAAGCCGUCGCUUAACGGAUAAAAGCUACCUCGGGGAUAACAGGCUGAUCUCCCCCAAGAGUCCACAUCGACGGGGAGGUUUGGCAC
rnacentral:rRNA from 1 species